GACGAACGCUGGCGGCGUGCUUAAUACAUGCAAGUCAACUAAGUCUUUUGCAGCAAUGUAAAAGAUUUGGUGGCGCACGGGUGAGUAUAACGUAGGCAAUCUACCAAAAGGUCUGACACAACCUGCCGAAAGGCAGGCUAAUAUCAGAUGGAUACAAAAGCAGGCAUCUGUUUUUUAUCAAAGCUUCGGCGCCUUUUGAUGAGCUUACGCCCCAUUAGANAGUUGGCGGGGUAAUAGCCCACCAAGUCUACGAUGGGUAACUGGUCUGAGAGGAUGAUCAGUCACACUGGAACUGAGACACGGUCCAGACUCC
rnacentral:rRNA from 1 species